AGCGUAGGCGGACAUUUAAGUCAGGGGUGAAAUCCCGGGGCUCAACCUCGGAAUUGCCUUUGAUACUGGGUGUCUUGAGUAUGGGAGAGGUGUGUGGAACUCCGAGUGUAGAGGUGAAAUUCGUAGAUAUUCGGAAGAACACCAGUGGCGAAGGCGACACACUGGCUCAUUACUGACGCUGAGGCUCGAAAGCGUGGGGAGCAAACA
rnacentral:rRNA from 1 species